rnacentral:rRNA from 2 species
CAGCCGCCGCGGUAAAACCAGCCCCCCGAGUGGUGGGGAUGAUUAUUUGGCCUAAAACGUCCGUAGCCGGCUCUGUAAAUCUCUCGUUAAAUCCAACGUCCUAAGCGUUGGACCGCGAGGGGAACUGCAGAACUAGAGGGUGGGAGAGGUCAGCGGUAUUCCUGGGGUAGGGGCGAAAUCCUUUGAUCCCCGGAGGACCACCAGUGGCGAAGGCUGCUGUCUAGAACACGUCUGACGGUCAGGGACGAAAGCUGGGGUAGCGAACCGGAUUAGAUACCCGGGUAGUCCCAGCCGUAAACGAUGCAUGCUAGGUGUUGGGUUGGCCACGAGCCACCCCAGUGCCGCAGGGAAGCCGUUAAGCAUGCCGCCUGGGAAGUACGAUCGCAAGAUUGAAACUUAAAGGAAUUGGCGGGGGAGCAC